rnacentral:rRNA from 1 species
AGAUUGAACGCUGGCGGCAGGCCUAACACAUGCAAGUCGAGCGGUAGAGAGGUGCUUGCAUCUCUUGAGAGCGGCGGACGGGUGAGUAAUGCCUAGAAUCUGCCUAGUGGUGGGGGAUAACGUUCGGAAACGGACGCUAAUACCGCAUACGUCCUACGGGAGAAAGCGGGGGACCUUCGGGCCUCGCGCCAUUAGAUGAGCCUAGGUCGGAUUAGCUAGUUGGUGAGG